CUGGGUUGGGGUUGUGCAUUGGGUUGGUUUUUUGGAUACGGCCGGUAGGGCCAGAGUUAAAAGUAUAAUAUAACUUAGGAUAUAAAUUAUAUCCUACGUUACUGGACAUUACUAAUACUUCGGUGAAUGAUUCGACAAGACUUAUAAAGAGGUGAACAGGUACGUGAGUGAGCUGUAUUUAUUUUUAGCAUUUCGGUAAUUGUUUGAAGGCAAUUCGCGUACAGGAUCCCUUUAAAUACAGCCGGUAGUGAUAUAUUUCAAGACUGGAUCAUUUGUUACCUUCACAGCUAUAUUUAGUCGUAAAAAUUUUAGAUUUUAUCUAAAAAAAGUGAAAUCCCUUGUACCAAGUGUCGAUUUGCAAAUGAAAUGUGAGUAAAUCAUUGACCCUUAUUUUGUAAUUUGUUUUUGCACGUGCAUGAAAAGUGUGACAUUUUAAUAAACUGACCUAUUUGGUUUUAAGAAAUGCCAGGAAUCAUAUGUGCUGCUACUCAUUAGCUACAUGUUGGUCGAGUUAUUAGUAUUACGAUUUAACUCAUAUCAAGAUGGCAACACCGCAGUUUUCAGGGUAGCGCUACCGUUAAUAAUGUUUACAUUUUGCGUGGUCAGUGCACCAGCAGCUUCGGUACGACUAGCCGAACCAGUAAAGUACUGGAAUGGUUUCAUCGGUACAGAUCAAAGUGUAAUGGUUGGAGGCACAUUGAGGCGGAAACUCUACGAACUGCAUGGAGAUGAAAAUACUGGCAAAAUGUUGACUUUCAGCAUGAAGGAGCCGGAGAAACGGUUUGUGAAGCGGGGAAUGCCCUCACGCAGUCUUGGCUCAAAGCCAAGGUGUAGUUGCAAACGUCGUAAGAGUGCGGAACGACGAUACCGUGUUAAGGACCAUGCAUGAAUUUGAGCCCAUUUCAGAGAUUCCAUCAUGAGAAUCUUAUUAACACUUUCAAACGAUUGUAUUCAAGUGAACUGUGUUAUAAUAAUACGUUUGGCAAUUAGCUCAACAUUUCGCAUUUAUAAUAG